rnacentral:rRNA from 1 species
AUUGAACGCUGGCGGCAGGCCUAACACAUGCAAGUCGAACGAGUGGCGGACGGGUGCGUAAUGUCUGGGAAACUGCCUGAUGGAGGGGGAUAACUACUGGCCACGGUAGCUAAUUCCGCCUACCAUCGGAUGUGCCCAGAUGGGAUUAGCUAGUAGGUGGGGUAACGGCUCACCUGGGCGACGAUCCCUAGCUGGUCUGAGAGGAUGACCAGCCACACUGGAACUGAGACACGGUCCAGACUCCUACGGGAGGCAGCAGUGGGGAAUAUUGCACAAUGGGCGCAAGCCUGAUGCAGCCAUGCCGCGUGUAUGAAGAAGGCCUUCGGGUUGUAAAGUACUUUCAGCGGGGAGGCGUUACCAGCAGAAGAAGCACCGGCUAACUACGUGCCAGCCGCCGCGGUAAUAC